GCAUAUCAAUAAGCGGAGGAAAAGAAACCAACAGGGAUUGCCUUAGUAACGGCGAGUGAAGCGGCAACAGCUCAAAUUUGAAAUCUGGCCCCAGGCCCGAGUUGUAAUUUGCAGAGGAUGCUUUUGGCGCGGUGCCUUCCGAGUUCCCUGGAACGGGACGCCAUAGAGGGUGAGAGCCCCGUCUGGUUGGAUACCAAGCCUUUGUAAAGCUCCUUCGACGAGUCGAGUAGUUUGGGAAUGCUGCUCUAAAUGGGAGGUAUAUGUCUUCUAAAGCUAAAUACCGGCCAGAGACCGAUAGCGCACAAGUAGAGUGAUCGAAAGAUGAAAAGCACUUUGGAAAGAGAGUUAAACAGCACGUGAAAUUGUUAAAAGGGAAGCGUUUAUGACCAGACUUGGGCCGGUUAAUCAUCCAGCGUUCUCGCUGGUGCACUUUGCCGGUCCAGGCCAGCAUCAGUUCGCUGCGGGGGAUAAAGGCGUCGGGAAUGUGGCUCCUCUGGAGUGUUAUAGCCCUUCGCGCAAUACCCUGCGGUGGACUGAGGUUCGCGCAUCUGCAAGGAUGCUGGCGUAAUGGUCAUCAACGACCCGUCUUGAAACACGGACCAAGGAGUCGUCUUCGUAUGCGAGUGUUCGGGUGUAAAACCCCUACGCGUAAUGAAAGUGAACGCAGGUGAGAGCUUCGGCGCAUCAUCGACCGAUCCUGAUGUUCUCGGAUGGAUUUGAGUAAGAGCAUACGGGGCCGGACCCGAAAGAAGGUGAACUAUGCCUGUAUAGGGUGAAGCCAGAGGAAACUCUGGUGGAGGCUCGCAGCGGUUCUGACGUGCAAAUCGAUCGUCAAAUAUGGGCAUGGGGGCGAAAGACUAAUCGAACCUUCUAGUAGCUGGUUUCCGCCGAAGU
rnacentral:rRNA from 1 species